rnacentral:rRNA from 1 species
GGGACAACAGUUGGAAACGACUGCUAAUACCGCAUAAGCCCACGGGUCGGCAUCGAGCAGAGGGAAAAGGAGCAAUCCGCUUUGAGAUGGCCUCGCGUCCGAUUAGCUAGUUGGUGAGGUAACGGCCCACCAAGGCAACGAUCGGUAGCCGGACUGAGAGGUUGAACGGCCACAUUGGGACUGAGACACGGCCCAGACUCCUACGGGAGGCAGCAGUGGGGAAUAUUGCACAAUGGGGGAAACCCUGAUGCAGCGACGCCGCGUGGAGGAAGAAGGUCUUCGGAUUGUAAACUCCUGUUGUUGAGGAAGAUAAUGACGGUACUCAACAAGGAAGUGACGGCUAACUACGUGCCAGCAGCCGCGGUAAAACGUAGGUCACAAGCGUUGUCCGGAAUUACUGGGUGUAAAGGGAGCGCAGGCGGGAAGACAAGUUGGAAGUGAAAUCCAUGGGCUCAACCCAUGAACUGCUUUCAAAACUGUUUUUCUUGAGUAGUGCAGAGGUAGGCGGAAUUCCCGGUGUAGCGGUGGAAUGCGUAGAUAUCGGGAGGAACACCAGUGGCGAAGGCGGCCUACUGGGCACCAACUGACGCUGAGGCUCGAAAGUGUGGGUAGCAAACAGGAUUAGAUACCCUGGUAGUCCACACCGUAAACGAUGAUUACUAGGUGUUGGAGGAUUGACCCCUUCAGUGCCGCAG